UCGUGCCCUCGCCCUUUCCCCCCGCAGGUCUUCUAUCCCUCUCCGCCUUACUUCUCCCAUCGCACGCGCGGUCUUCUAUCCGCCUCGCGCCUCCCAUCGACGAUCACGAGACCUCGCCGUCGCCAGCAACAUCGCCUCCUGCUUGCGCCGGAGCUGGUCCGGCGACCCCAUGCCGCCAGACACCGCCACCUCCAUGAACACCCACUGCCGCCCCGACGCGCCGCCGCAGGAUCCUCAGAUCAUUGAGGAGGAGAAGGACCACUGAGGUUUGUGACGCCCCGUCUACCUCGCCAACCCGCCGCUGCUGCGACAUAUCGGGCACCGGCCGCUCAGUCGCGGUGGCCUUCGUGUGGCGACGCAUGCAGUACCGCUGCCUCCCUCCGGCCUGGCUGCACCUGUUCGUCUCAUUCUCAGGUAUGUUCUCUGUCUUCCUCUCUAGAUUGAUCAAUUCAAUAGUCAAUUCUUCUCAUCAAAUUAGGAACUUCACAGGUGCCUACACUAGGUUCAAGGUUCAUACAUUUUUUUGAGAAUGAGCAGCAUGUGCCUAUUUUAGAGUUUUUAAACGUUGGUUUUGGCCGAGAAAAAUAAAGAGCUAUGAAAAAUUAAAAUCAUGCUGUUAGAAGAAUGUUUCAGACUACAGCUAAAAUAAUUUUUUAUAGAAAAUAGAUUUUGAUCCCACUACAUCGAGUAAGCAACUGUGACAUAAAAAAGGUUUAAUUGGCCAUGCUUUCUGUUCAAAUCAUUUGGAUCAACCAUAUCAAGGUUUUUAUAGUCUCAGAAUAAUUUCAAUUUCCGUUGAUGGUUAGGUUAAAUCUCAGUAUUUGUGUUAAAAUAACCGUUGUAGAUCAAUUUUUGCAAUCUCAUUAUUUGUGCUAAAGUAACUGUUGUAGAUCAGUUUUUGUAGUCUCAGAGUAUCAAGGUUUAUCAGCAAAAUGGAGUACACCUGUAGUACAUUCGUAGUUCACCUGAUAUACUUCAAGCUUCAGAAUCAUGGGUUAAUGCAGUUUAUUUGAGAAUGCUUGAUCACAGGAAAAGGCUUGCAGAUCCUUCCUUAGAGAGCCAACCAUGAUUUCGUGCUUGUUUAAUUUUUUUCAUUUGACCAUACACACUUGGAAAGAAAACUAUGAUGUUAGUGAUAUUGUCAUGUUACCUGCAUCAGAGACUAGGGCAGAGACUUUGAAACAUAGUGAAACUUUCAGUAGUCACUUGGUAGGUCCUAAUAAUUUGUUAGUAGCUUGGCUCUUCAGUUGUAGGCACUUUACUAUUCUUUUUUGGUAGCUUGGCAUAUAUUAUGAUUUGGAACAUAUGAGAUAAUUGAUGCCUUGAAAUGUCCUUUUGAUUUA